rnacentral:rRNA from 1 species
GAACGGGUGAAGUAACACGUGGGUGAUCUGCCCUGCACUUUGGGAUAAGCCUGGGAAACUGGGUCUAAUACCGAAUAGGACCACGCGCUUCAUGGUGUGUGGUGGAAAGCUUUUGCGGUGUGGGAUGGGCCCNNNNNNNAUCAGCUUGUUGGUGGGGUAAUGGCCUACCAAGGCGACGACGGGUAGCCGGCCUGAGAGGGUGACCGGCCACACUGGGACUGAGAUACGGCCCAGACUCCUACGGGAGGCAGCAGUGGGGAAUAUUGCACAAUGGGCGCAAGCCUGAUGCAGCGACGCCGCGUGAGGGAUGACGGCCUUCGGGUUGUAAACCUCUUUCAAUAGGGACGAAGCGCAAGUGACGGUACCUAUAGAAGAAGCACCGGCCAACUACGUGCCAGCAGCCGCGGUAAUACGUAGGGUGCGAGCGUUGUCCGGAAUUACUGGGCGUAAAGAGCUCGUAGGUGGUUUGUCGCGUUGUUCGUGAAAACUCACAGCUUAACUGUGGGCGUGCGGGCGAUACGGGCAGACUAGAGUACUGCAGGGGAGACUGGAAUUCCUGGUGUAGCGGUGGAAUGCGCAGAUAUCAGGAGGAACACCGGUGGCGAAGGCGGGUCUCUGGGCAGUAACUGACGCUGAGGAGCGAAAGCGUGGGGAGCGAACAGGAUUAGAUACCCUGGUAGUCCACGCCGUAAACGGUGGGUACUAGGUGUGGGUUCCUUCCUUGGGAUCCGUGCCGUAGCUAACGCAUUAAGUACCCCGCCUGGGGAGUACGGCCGNCAGGCUAAAACUCAAAGGAAUUGACGGGGGCCCGCACAAGCGGCGGAGCAUGUGGAUUAAUUCGAUGCAACG